AUCCCGCACCGGAUGCCUUCAAAUGAUGUGGCACACAGCAGGGUGAGAGCCUGAUGUCACAGGAGGGGAAAUUAGUUCCAGUCCUCCAUUAUAAAACAAACACGGAUCUGUGAUCAAGCCGUACUGUUGGCCAACAUAUGUUUAAUGCGUCCCCACACUGCUGAUAGUUAAAAAUGUCCCAGGUGAAAAAAAAAUGGCCACUAUGCUGCUCAGUGCCUUGGACUUAAAGGGGCACUGUGCAAGAUAUGGCCAGAAUUUGAGUUUAAAACAUUCAUAAGCUUUUCUUGUUCCAGGAAAUGUAUGUAAAAUUAUCCUUAAAUGAACUGAAUUAUUUUUGUUUUUCUUGCCAAUUUUUUUUUAAGAAGUCGUAUACUGCUAAUUUAUGGGUUCAUACUUUUUACUUAUACUUGGGGGACUUAGAGGAAUAGAUUAACAUACUUUAAUUUUUUUUUAAAAACACAUUAUUCUCAUGAGCAUUACCCAACAGACAGGAUGUAUCCAAUCAGAGGCAGAGUGGGGUGGGUCAUGCCUAGUAAGGUAGUGUGAUCUAAAAUAAGGCAGCUACAGCAUUAGCGACUGUUUGUCUGCUGACUGACUGAAGUGUAUAUAUUUUAUAAUAAAUAGAUGAAAAUAAUUAUUUACAUAGCACCUGUUAUACAGCGACGCACAUAAGUUAUAUAAGUAAAGGCUCGACUCCAAACCCGGCACUUCAGGCAGUGCAGGAGCAGUGUUUUCUGUGAGAGAGAGAGUAACUCCCUUUGGUGUGGACUCUGGGUUUUUCAUUUUGCAGACCUUUUACAUGCACACAAAUGCUACAUAACACAAUAAAGGAAAGGCAAAGACAAAAAAAACCAUAGUAUGACCUUUUUAAUACAAAAAUAAGCCUGCAAAUGACCUGCUACUGCCCCUCUUCAUUGGAAAACACAGUGGGCUCAAAGUUCAAAUUAGACAACAAUAUCACUGAAAAUGAACAAUGAACACAUCUGUCUCUAAGGAAAUAAGCUUCAGCUACCCCUGCUUGAGAGUAACUGGCAAAAAAUAUUGUUCUUUAUUUCCUUAUUUACACUAUCUUUAGCAUAUAACAGCUGACUGAAAGAGCGAGUCACAUUAAACUAUACAAACUGGCAUAAUUUCCAGUUUUGUAGCUGUAAAAAUGAAUAAACUAUAAACAAGUGGAUUUGAAAUCUCACUGGCUACAAGAUGCAUCAGUGAUCUGCAGGUUGGUGCGAGAGUUGGUCACAAGAAAAGAGAAAGAAGAAAGAGUCGCUUCACUAAAUGAUCACCCUUUGGCUGUUGUAGGACCUAGGGCAGUCAUAUAUUCUCAUAUCUGCUCAAAUGAGCUGUCAAUCAAACGGCUGCCAUGUCAGGAUCUCCGGUGUUGAGGGGAAAAUGUAACUGUGACUGCGGGUUUUCUUCUGUUUUGUCACCAUUUAUGUAGGGAAUCCUUACAUUUACAUUUAGGGCAUUUAGCAGAAUACUGUGUUGUGGACUAAAUGUUUUACUGAAAUCGAACGAGUGGACAUUUGGGAAUAAGACGAGACAGUCUUGUUGGAGUUUAUUGCACUACUGAAACACCCAGACACUUCACUGCUCUUCCAAGACUGACGCUCACCUGAUAACCUCCUCAAGUCACCUUUGCCAUCAUCAUGACCUAAAAGGGGCUUUGAAAACUGUUAAGGACUUCUUCUAUAAAUAUGCCAACCAGGACGGGGAUGCACACAGCAUUACCAAGAAAGAGCUGAAAGUGCUGUUUCAGCAGGAACUUAAAAUGGAGCUGGAGGGUUGUGAAGGUAAAGAAAAACUGGACAACAUCUUCAAGGAUCUGGACGACAACAAGGACAACGUCGUGGACUUCAAUGAGUUUUGUGACCUUUUUGUGAUGAUCCUGAAGAUCAGUCAUUUCUGGCUUAUGUGAAACUAGGCGUGCAAGCGCCACAGAGGGUCGGCAUAGAGCGCUGUCUUCCCAUGACAGGUGCCAACAAGAAAUUGAAAUGUAACGCUCCCUGAAAUAAGCCUCUUUUCCUGUGAGACCCUUGUGCCGCUUGUGUGUUACGGGAGGUCAUGGGAACGAUGUUUGUGACACUGCUGACUUACAGCUGCAUUAACCUCAGGAAAUAAAACCUUUUUUUCCUCAGACACCAAAAGUGGUAAUCGUCUUGGGCCUCAAUAUUAUUUUUUUAACUAAUACAAUGAGAGAAAGAUGGACCGGUAUCAACAAAAACAGACACAUUGCCAAACGUCAGAUACUCUGCUAUUCCUUGCAAUUUUCAUUUGUCGUUGUCCGAGAUUCGGGGAACUCUGCGGUCUGCCUGAACAUGCAAGCACUAGGAGUGGCUCAGCCGGGUGUGUUUGUCGUGAAUAUCCAUUUGAAAAACUGGUUGUGCUAGGCUGUCAAAAACAACCAAACUGCCAAAUUGCCAAACCUCACACAUGUAGUUUAUGGCACAACACAGACGGGAUCCAAAAAAAAUGUUUUAGUUUCUCUCCAUUCACUGUCGUACACUUCUGAAUUAAAGUCCCUAAAUUGAAACUAGAAGGGGCGUGACUCCUCAGGGGCGCCACCGAUGAGGAACGACGUCUGAGCUGUCAUUAACUAUUGUUGUUUAGCGAGUAGAAAUAAAAGAUUUGUUAGAAAGUGUUUUUUGUGUUUCCUAGAAGUUUUGCACUUCAUCCACGCUGCACUUUCUUCUUGGAGUUUCUACAUGCUGUGCAGCCGGACCCUGAUGUGAUUUAAUAAAACAACCAAGGCAACGUGUCCUACAGAUGU